rnacentral:rRNA from 1 species
AUUGAACGCUGGCGGCAGGCCUAACACAUGCAAGUCGAACGAGUGGCGGACGGGUUAUUAAUGUCUGGGCAACUGCCUGAUGGAGGGGGAUAACUACUGGAAACGGUAGCUAAUCCCUCCUACCAUUGUGUUUUCCCCGAUGGGAUUAGCUAGUUGGUGGGGUAACGGCUCAACAAGGCGACGAUCCCUAGCUGGUCUGAGAGGAUGACCAGACACACUGUAACUGAGAAACGGUCCAGACUCCUACGGGAGGCAGCAGUGGGGAAUAUUGCACAAUGGGCGCAAGCCUGAUGCAGCCAUGCCGCGUGUAUGAAGAAGGCCUUCGGGUUGUAAAGUACUUUCAGCGGGGAGGCGUUACCCGCAGAAGAAGCACCGGCUAACUCCGUGCCAGCAGCCGCGGUAAUAC